ACCACAACCAAGAAUUUCAUAAUCCCACUCAAUAUUCCAAUCCACCUUUAUUAUAUAAAGGAUAUUCCAAACACGGCACAAAGGGCUAAAAGGCAAAACGGGUCAAAAAACAGAAAAUGGAUCCACCAGAAGUUCAAUCAAUUGAUAACCCGACCUCCAAUUAUCCUCCCAUGGAAGAUGAACAAGAUAAAGUUAUUAACGACUGUUGCUCUUGCUUCUAUGACUGUACGGAUAGCUGCUUUGACUACUUAUUCUGUGACCUCUGUUAGUUUUUUAAUUAGUGUUUGGUGUUUGAUUUGUUGACUUUUGUAUUAGUUUUAUAUCUCGAAUUUCUUGAAUUUAGUUCUCUUGUUUGUUGCAGUUUUUUUCUGAUUACCUAUGAAUAAAUGUGUUCAGAAAUUGGAGUCGAAUUUCUUUUGAAUUUUGCAAA